CAGCCGCCGCGGGAAUACGUAGGCGGCAAGCGUUGUCCGGAAUUAUUGGGCGUAAAGGGAGCGCAGGUGGGACGGUAAGUCCGUCUUAAAAGGCAGGGGCUCAGCCCCUGUAAGGGAUGGAAACUAUCGAUCUUGAGUGCCGGAGAGGAAAGCGGAAUUCCCAGUGUAGCGGUGAAAUGCGUAGAUAUUGGGAAGAACACCAGUGGCGAAGGCGGCUUUCUGGACGGCAACUGACACUGAGGCUCGAAAGCCAGGGGAGCGAACGGGAUUAGAGACCCCCGUAGUCCCUGUCUCUUAUACA
rnacentral:rRNA from 1 species